rnacentral:rRNA from 1 species
CAAUAGCGUAUACUAAAAUUGUUGCUGUUAAAACGCCCAGAGUCGGAGCUUGGGGCCGCUGUGCGGUGUGCUCCGCGAGGAGCGACGCUGCGUGGGGUUCUUCCUUCGCGCAUGCAGCCCGCGAGGGGUGUGUGAGCGGACGUACACUUUGAAAAAACUGGAGCGUUCCAAGCAGGCGUGUUGCCGUGAACAAUCUUUCAGAGGAUGUUGGAAGAGGGCUUCGGUCCAUUCCGUUGGUCGAGAGACCGAAGCAAUGAUCAGCAGGAGUAGACGUGGGCAUUCGUAUUCGGAAGGGAGAGGUGAAAUUCCAUGAUCUUCCGAGGACGCACUACCGCGAAGGCAUCUGCCAAGUAUAUUUCCAUCGA